rnacentral:rRNA from 1 species
CCUACGGGGGGCAGCAGUGGGGAAUAUUGGACAAUGGGGGGAACCCUGAUCCAGCGACGCCGCGUGAGUGAAGAAGUAUUUCGGUAUGUAAAGCUCUAUCAGCAGGGAAGAAAGAAAUGACGGUACCUGACUAAGAAGCCCCGGCUAACUACGUGCCAGCAGCCGCGGUAAUACGUAGGGGGCAAGCGUUAUCCGGAUUUACUGGGUGUAAAGGGAGCGUAGACGGCGAUGCAAGUCUGAAGUGAAAGGCGGGGGCCCAACCCCCGGACUGCUUUGGAAACUGUAUGGCUGGAGUGCAGGAGAGG